rnacentral:rRNA from 1 species
UACGGAGGGGGCAAGCGUUACUCGGAAUUAUUGGGCGUAAAGGGCGCGUAGGUGGUCGCGUGCGUCGGGGGGUGAAAUACCCGGGCUCGAACCCGGGAACUGCCUUCGAUACGGCGUGGCUUGAGUCCGGGAGAGGGGAGCAGAAUUCCCAGUGUAGCGGUGAAAUGCGUAGAUACUGGGAGGAAUACCGGUGGCGAAGGCGGCUCCCUGGACCGGGUACUGACGCUGAGGCGCG